rnacentral:rRNA from 1 species
GACGAACGCUGGCGGCGUGCUUAACACAUGCAAGUCGAACGGAAGGGCCCUGCGCUUGUUGGGUUCUUGAUAGGCGAAGACGUGUGUAUCACGCGUGUAACCUGCCCUUGACAGUGUGAUAACUCUUGGAAACUGGGUCGAAUACCGGAUAGAAGCUCCUGCUCCGUGUGGGUGGUUGGAAAAUUUCGGCGGUUGGGGAUGGUAUCGCUGCUUAUCAGCUUGUUGGGGGGGUAGUGGCUUACCAAGGCUUUGACGGAUAGCCGGCCUGAGAGGGUGACCGGCCACAUUGGGACUGAGAUACGGCCCAGACGGCUACGGGAGGCAGCAGUGGGGAGUAUUGCACAAUGGGCGGAAGCCUGAUGCAGCAACGCUGCGUGCGGGAUGACGGCCUUCGGGUUAAAAACCUCUUUCGCAUGUGACGAAGCGUGCGUGACGGUAAUGGGUAAAGAAGCACCGGCUAACUACGUG